GUGAGGAAUAUUGGUCAAUGGACGGAAGUCUGAACCAGCCAUGCCGCGUGAAGGAUGAAGGCGUUCUGCGUUGUAAACUUCUUUUAUCAGAGAAGAAACCACUGAUUUCUAUUAGUGUUGACGCUAUCUGAUGAAUAAGCACCGGCUAACUCCGUGCCAGCAGCCGCGGUAAUACGGAGGGUGCAAGCGUUAUCCGGAUUUACUGGUUUUAAAGGGUGUGUAGGCGGGCUAGUAAGUCAGGGGUGAAAUCCCGGGGCUCAACCUCGGAACUGCCUUUGAUACUAUUAGUCUUGAAUUAUGUUGAGGUUGGCGGAAUAUAACAUGUAGCGGUGAAAUGCAUAGAUAUGUUAUAGAACACCGAUUGCGAAGGCAGCUGGCUAAACAUAUAUUGACGCUGAGGCACGAAAGCGUGGGUAGCGAACAGGAUUAGAAACCCGUGUAGUCC
rnacentral:rRNA from 1 species